rnacentral:lncRNA from 1 species
CUUGGGCCGCCGGGAACCUCGCAGAGCGGCGGGGUGGCCCUGGCGAGGCGCGGUUGUUGGGGGUUCGCUCGAGCCUCACGACGCCCGCGACUGGGGACUCGGAACCUGGGCCAGGCUGGGACGAGGCCGCGCGGGAGGGCGCGCUGGGCGGACGCUGGGGCCGCGGAGCCCAACCGCCCUUGUCCUGGACGCCCCUUGGCGGUCCGCACUGGCGGGUGCCCUCUCCCGAGGGGAACUGAGGCGGGGCGCCUGCCACCAUUCGUGAUUUUCCGUGACUCACCCUCUCAACAGUGUCCCGUCAGCCCCCGCUUUCUGGAAUUAAGAUGAUUUUCCAUGGGCAUUAUAGUCAGAGGAGGUUUUCUGUGAGACAUCUGGGAAAGAUUGUGAAUAAUUGGUCUACUUUGAAGCUCAGAAGAGUCAUUGUGAAUAAUAUGGACAGAGUAAAAGAGUUAUGACAUUAGCUGUUAGUGACAUUAGCUCGAAGCCCACAAUAGUCAUAGAAAGGGGGAGACUUCACAACACCAUCUCCCUGGUAUCCACUGGACUUUGAUGGGUGGCAUCCACUAGCGGAAUUCAGAAAAAUGAAGGUGUGAAAUCGGUUUUUAUAAAGAAGAGAACCAUGCUAUGGAGAAGGAUUACUGUAUCGCCUCUUCAGAAGCCUUGUAUGAUGCCAUCCUGGGAUACAGCUGAGGUAUAGAUGAAAGGAUUCAGCAUCGGAGCCACCAUUGAAUACAUGAUGGUUGACAGAGUGUCGCUCUCAGGCAUAUGGGGGGAUGAAGGGCUGAAAUAGACGGCGAUGGCUGUGCCGUAAAACAACACCACCACUGACAGGUGGCAGCUGCAGGUGGAAACAGCUCUCUGCUUGCCCUGAGUAGAGGUGAUCUUCAGAACAGUGGAGAAGAUAAGUCCAUAAGAUACGAGGAUACAGACAAGGGGCGUGAGAGCCAAUAGACCUCCUACUGCAAAAAUGAUCAUUACAUUGAAGGAGACGUCAGAGCAAGAGAGCUGCAGGAGAGGAUUGAGAUCACAGAAGAAAUGAUGGAUGAUAUUGGAGGCACAGAAGGACAGCUGUGCUAUUAGGACAGUAUGCAGGAGGGCGUGGAGGUAAGUAACAAGCCACAGUCCAGCCACUAGCUGGACACAAAGGCACAGGUUCAUUCUGGCGGUGUAAUGUAAGGGGUGGCAAAUCGCCACAUAUCUAUCAUACGCCAUCACACACAGAAGGAGGCUGUCCAUAUUCACAAAAGAAACGAAGAAGAAGAGCUGGGUGAGGCAGCCUGCAAAAGAGAUAGUCUUGGUGCCAGUCAAGAUAUUCACUACCAUUUGGGGGACUGUAGUCGACGUAAAGCAGAUGUCAACAAAGGCCAAGUUACUAAGGAAGAAGUACAUAGGGGAAUGGAGGUGAGAGUCAAAGCCAAUCGUCGCAAUGAUGAGCAUG